GUAGGGAAUCUUCCGCAAUGGACGAAAGUCUGACGGAGCAACGCCGCGUGAGUGAAGAAGGUUUUCGGAUCGUAAAACUCUGUUGUUAAAGAAGAACAAGGAUGAGAGUAACUGCUCAUCCCCUGACGGUAUUUAACCAGAAAGCCACGGCUAACUACGUGCCAGCAUCCGCGGUAAUACGUAGGUGGCAAGCGUUGUCCGGAUUUAUUGGGCGUAAAGCGAGCGCAGGCGGUUCUUUAAGUCUGAUGUGAAAGCCCCCGGCUCAACCGGGGAGGGUCAUUGGAGACUGGAGAACUUGGGUGCAGAAGAGGAGAGUGGAAUUCCACGGGUAGCGGUGAAAUGCGUAGAUAUGUGGAGGAACACCAGUGGCGAAGGCGACUCUCUGGUCUGUAACUGACGCUGAGGCUCGAAAGCGUGGGGAGCAAACAGGAUUAGAUACCCGGGUAGUCC
rnacentral:rRNA from 1 species